UGCCAGCAGCCGCGGUAAUACGGGGGGGGCAAGCGUUGUUCGGAAUUACUGGGCGUAAAGGGCUCGUAGGUGGCCAACUAAGUCAGACGUGAAAUCCCCAGGCUUAACCUGGGAACUGCGUCUGAUACUGGAUGGCUUGAAUUCGGGAGAGGGAUGCAGAAUUCCAGGUGUAGCGGUGAAAUGCGUAGAUAUCUGGAGGAAUACCGGUGGCGAAGGCGGCAUCCUGGACCGAGAUUGACACUGAGGAGCGAAAGCCAGGGGAGCAAACGGGAUUAGAUACCCCGGUAGUCCUGGCCCUAAACGAUGAAUGCUUGGUGUGACGGGUAUCGAUCCCUGUCGUGCCGAAGCUAACGCAUUAAGCAUUCCGCCUGGGGAGUACGGUCGCAAGGCUGAAACUUAAAGGAAUUGACGGC
rnacentral:rRNA from 1 species